GGCUCCCCUUUAUUUAUUUUAUUUUAUUUACUUUAUUUCAGAUGGUAAAGAAUCUUCCUGCAAUGCAGGAGACCCAGGUUCAAUUCUUGGGUCAGGAAAAUCCCCUGGAGAAGGGAAUGGCAACAACCCACUUCAGUAUUCUUGCCUGAAGAAUUCCAUGGACAGAGGAUCCUGGCAGGCUAUAGUCUCUGGGGUCAAAAAGAAUUGGACAUGACUGAGCAAGUAACACUAAGUGAAAUAUCACUGGGGCUGGACUCUCCUGGAUGCUCUAGCACACUGGGAAGAAAGCAACCAAGAGUUUUCAGAUUCCCAACUAGUACGCAAAAGAG
rnacentral:lncRNA from 1 species